rnacentral:other from 1 species
AUUGCUCUGUACGGGUGUUCAAUUUUGUUCCUACAUUUUUAUUAAUAGGGAGAGUUGACUCUGUCAGAUAUUGAAGUAUACCCGCCGAAGCUUGCUUCGCCAGCGGGAAACGGAUUUAUCGAGGCGCUCACCCACCUGCGAGCUCAGCAGGUAACAAAAUCACAUCUGUACGGGGCUUUU